rnacentral:rRNA from 1 species
UACGUAGGGCGCAAGCGUUAUCCGGAAUUAUUGGGCGUAAAGAGCUCGUAGGCGGUUUGUCGCGUCUGCCGUGAAAGUCCGGGGCUCAACUCCGGAUCUGCGGUGGGUACGGGCAGACUAGAGUGAUGUAGGGGAGACUGGAAUUCCUGGUGUAGCGGUGAAAUGCGCAGAUAUCAGGAGGAACACCGAUGGCGAAGGCAGGUCUCUGGGCAUUAACUGACGCUGAGGAGCGAAAGCUAGGGGAGCGAACAGG